rnacentral:rRNA from 1 species
GAUGAACGCUGGCGGCGUGCCUAACACAUGCAAGUCGAACGGGAAUCUUCGGAUUCUAGUGGCGGACGGGUGAGUAACGCGUAAGAAUCUAACUUCAGGACGGGGACAACAGUUGGAAACGACUGCUAAUACCCGAUGUGCCGCAAGGUGAAACCUAAUUGGCCUGGAGAAGAGCUUGCGUCUGAUUAGCUAGUUGGUGGGGUAAGGGCCUACCAAGGCGACGAUCAGUAGCUGGUCUGAGAGGAUGAGCAGCCACACUGGGACUGAGACACGGCCCAGACUCCUACGGGAGGCAGCAGUGGGGAAUUUUCCGCAAUGGGCGAAAGCCUGACGGAGCAACGCCGCGUGAGGGAGGAAGGUCUUUGGAUUGUAAACCUCUUUUCUCAAGGAAGAAGUUCUGACGGUACUUGAGGAAUCAGCCUCGGCUAACUCCGUGCCAGCAGCCGCGGUAAUACGGGGGAGGCAAGCGUUAUCCGGAAUUAUUGGGCGUAAAGCGUCCGCAGGUGGUCAGCCAAGUCUGCUGUCAAAUCAGGUUGCUUAACGACCUAAAGGCGGUGGAAACUGGCAGACUAGAGAGCAGUAGGGGUAGCAGGAAUUCCCAGUGUAGCGGUGAAAUGCGUAGAGAUUGGGAAGAACAUCGGUGGCGAAAGCGUGCUACUGGGCUGUAUCUGACACUCAGGGACGAAAGCUAGGGGAGCGAAAGGGAUUAGAUACCCCUGUAGUCCUAGCCGUAAACGAUGGAUACUAGGCGUGGCUUGUAUCGACCCGAGCCGUGCCGAAGCUAACGCGUUAAGUAUCCCGCCUGGGGAGUACGCACGCAAGUGUGAAACUCAAAGGAAU